ensembl:snoRNA small nucleolar RNA ACA64
CUUCAUUGAAAACCAUCUCAAGCUUUGGCUAUGGCUGAAUGUGAGAUUCGCUGCCCUGGGCCACAGGAACCUCAGCUCACUGUCUGCUGCCCCAGUGUGGGAGGAUGAAACCCAGGCCCCUACAUUU